rnacentral:lncRNA from 1 species
UCUGGUACUACUUCAACAUCAUCAUCAUCUGAUAUGACUGCAACUGCAGUGACAUCUGGUACUACUACAAUUGCCUCACCAUCUGAUACUACUACAACUGCAUUGACAUCUGGU